rnacentral:lncRNA from 1 species
UUUUUUUUUUUUGUCUUUUUGCCAUUUCUUGGGCUGCUCCCGGCAUAUGGAGGUUCCCAGAAGAGACAAUUAAUUAAUUAAUUAAUUAAAUAAGAAAAGAUUUUUAAAGGCAUAUGAGAAAGUAUAUUUCACUUCUCAUUCAAUACAACACAGUCCAUUGAGAGGAACUGGUCACCUCAGGGAAUGAAGUUUUAUUUAGCACAAACAGGAGAGGUUUUCAAUUAGUAUGUCUAUUCUUUAAUAAUUUCAUCAUUCUUCCGAGAUUAUAAAAGCAGUACAUCCUAGGUAAAAAAAAUUGAGAAAAAAGAUCACCCACAAUAUUAUUACCUAGAGAUAAUAAGCUCUUAUUAGUAUUUGGCAUACAUACUUUCUUUUAAGAUUUCUAUAUACAGAGCUUUUGUCCAUAUUAAAGAAAAUUAGGGAGCUCCCAUUGUGGCUCAGUGGGUUAUGAACCCGACUAGCAUACAUGAGGAUGCAGGUUUGAUUCCUGGCCUUGCUCAGUGGGUUAAGGAUCUGGCAUUGCUGUGAGCUGUGCUGUAGGUCGAAUAUGAGGCUCAGAUCCUGCAUUGCUGUGGCUAGUGGCGUAGGCUGGCAGCUGCAGCUCUGAUUCAACACCCUAGCCUGGGAACUUCCAUAUGCCAAAGGUGUGUCCCUGAAAAGCAAAAAAAAAAAAAAAAAAAAAAAAAAAAANAAAAUCAUACAUUAAGCAUAUUCUCAUCCCAUUCUGUUUUUCUAAAUAUCAUUCCAUAUCAAUAAAUAUUGGCCUCUACCAUCCUGUUUAAAGAUUGCACAGUAUUUCACUAUAUGGAUAGGCCCUAAUGACUUAAUCAAUCCUUUAUUAAUAGGGGUUUAGGUUACUUUCCAUGUUUUGCUGUUGCAAAAAACAGGGCAAUGAGCAAUCUGGUACAUAUGACUGUUUCUUUAAGAUAAAUUCCUAGACGAUAGCUUGUCAUUUUAUAACUCUGGAUCCAUAUUGCCCCAAGUGUCACCCAUAAAAUACAUACCAAAUUUACCUUUUUCAAAAGAAGGAAACCCUUAAAUUUAAGAGUAAUAGCAUAUUUUACAUUUCUAAUAUUUAGAUUAAGCAACCAAAAACUUUAAAAAUUCAAUUUAUCUCUAAAAAUCUAAAAUAUCAAUUCAUGCCUCUGAUAUUGCAUUAGAAUUACAUUUGGAGGGGGGGAAUUCUAAAAUACCUAAUAAACCGGUUUUGUUUUCAGCAUUUAUUAAUUUGAAAACUUAAACUCUGAAAAGAAUAUACUUGCUAUAAAACAAGCAAAUUAGUAGGGAAAACUAAAAGGCAAGGAGAGAGGCAAAAAAUACACUAAUCAGUUAUAGCAGCCACCAGGUCACCAAAUCUGAAUCCUAUACAAGGGCUGAGAAAGAAGCAUCAAGAAAAAGAGAAAAGGUGACAACUAAAAGAAACAGCUUUCAGAGACUCAGUGAUGGCUGGAUUAAAUUACACACAGACAUAUACAUCUACAUGCUCUGUAUAGAACCAAUCCUGAAGCUAAUCUCUAGGGGUUAGAACACAAGAGGAACCUUUGUGUGCUUUAUUUAACCAAACAUCAUGUACAAGGGGAUGGGGGAGGCCAGAUACAGGGAAGAGUGUCUAGGUAGCAGCUUGAGGGCCUAGUAUCAACUACUUCCCCUCCUGGGCACCAGGAGGGUAACAGGAACUUGAGGCAUAAAGCAGCUCCAAAGGCACUUAUUCCCUUCAAAACCAACACAAAUGACAAGGCUCAAUCAUCAAGUUCUUUGGCAAACUGGGCAAGGUGAGACUAUUUUUACCAACAAAUAAUUUACUGGAGAGCACCAUGUUUGUGCCUAGGAGGGGAAGGCCACAUAUUAUAACUAAUCUACUGGAGUUUCAUCCUAAUGGGGAAGGCAGGGACAUUAGAUAAAGCAACCAUAACAAAAGCACUGAACAUUUAAGAUGGAAAAUGGCAGUGUGUAUAGGGGUAAGAGGAGGUACUGUUGCUUGCUAACACCACACACCUAUAGGACUUGGGGUCUAACAUUCUUCUAGGCAAGGGCUCAGUAAACUAUGGCCCUUGAAUGGGUCAAAUCCAAUUCUGACUUAUGCUAUGAGCCAUUACCUAUAUAUAACACUUUUAAAUGGUUGAAAAAUUCUUAAAACUGUUUCCCAGCAUACAAAAAUUUCAUGAAAUUCAAACAUCAGUGUCCACAAAGUUUUACUGAACACAGCCAUGCCCACUCCUGGUCAAUGGCUACCUUCUCCAUGCACUGAGUUGGGAGGCUCUAAAUGCUUCAUGCUUGUUAGUUUGGCCCUGACAUACCCAGAAUUUAGACAUAGCCUGCUAGCCUAACAGAGAAUGCAGCCCCAUUUUUAAGAACAGCAGGCAGGUCUAAUUGGUUCUAUGGAUGCUGGGGUACUAGCCAAAUAGUAACCAGAAAAAUGUGAAAGGUUUUUUGAGUUGAAAGUAGAAUGGUCUCAGAAGGUGUGUGUUGGGGUGAGUAGGAUUAAAGGUUUCUCUCUGAAAGAAUACAUGAGCUAUCUCCUUGGACAAGAGAAUGAAACCGUCCUCAAAAUGACUACUACCUUUAGGAGCUUAGCACUGAGCAAAGCCUUUUGCCUUUAUUAUCUCAUUUAAUCUCAAACCCAGGUUCAAGUCUAAGCCUGUGUUCCUAACCACUCCCUGACUUAAAAGCACAAGACAACAAUGUUCACCAGGACUAAAAGAGAGGAAAAGACCACAGGAACAGUGGAAGGUUAUUUUAUGGCCAUGAGCAUCAGAAGUGUUCUAUUCAUCUCUCUCCUCCCUCUCCCUCUUUCUCCUUAUAGUAACAUCAUUUCCUUUAAAGAAAGUAAAAUGCAACUUAUUUCUUCCAGGAACUUGCUUGUUGAGAAAAACUGAUGCAGGUACUCAAACAUGGAGACAUUUUAAAGAUGUCACCAUCAAAGUUAUAGAUCUAACUUCUACUAAAUGCAAUCAAUGUGUAAGGGUCUCCAAAAGAAGGGGGUGAGGAAACAUUUUUUGAGGCAAUGGUUUAGAAAGCACAUAUACAGUUUAAUUUAGAUUUUUCAUUUAAAGUACAAUGAGGAGUAACAGUUAAAUGAAUCUUACUCAAAGAAAGGGCUAUGAUGCUGGUAGGCAGCUGAAUCUUUCUUACUAGGAUCCAUGUUCUUUGCUUUGCCAACUAUACCACCAUUUUCCUUCAAGUUCUCCAAAAAGCCUACAAUUAUAAGAACCACUCAAUCCUAACUCAUUUUGUGAAAACCAGAUUUUUAAGAAGUUUCACUUGGUUGAUAUUUUCAUCAUACUUAUUUGCAGAUAACGUAUACCAUUAUUAUAUAACAUGUUUGUACAUAUUUACUUGGGUGUUUAUGAAUGGUUACCAACAUCUAGCUCCCAAGUUCUUCCUGUGCACCAAAUGAGGGGCUCAGAGUUUCAUACAGGGAACUUCCUGCAAGGCUCCCAACACUUCUACUAGGUAGGCUUUAUCUAGAUGAGGAACCUCAGGGUCAGGCAGGAUAAGUACAUACAGUGAAUGAGAACGAAAGAACCCAGAUUUGGACUUAAGCCUGUUUUGACUCAGAAACUGUGUUUUUCCCAUAGCAUUCUGCCAAGGCACCAACACAUUUCCUUAGACUAUCUCUCAGUCAAAUUUGCUGGAGAGCAGUAAGGGUGUGGAGUUGAAUAAACGAUUAGCUCUAAGAGUGGUUACUGGGCUAAAGCCUCUGCGUAUCGACAAUAAAUCCAUUUGAUCUAAUGUUUUUUGAUUUGUUUGGGUUUUUUCUGCUUUUUAGAGCUGCACCGAAGGCACAGAGAAGUACCCAUGCUAGACGUCCAACAGGGACUGCAGUUGCCAGCCUACACCACAGCCACUGCAAUGUGGAUCCGAGCUACAUCUGCAAUCUACACCACGGCUCACAGCAUUGCCAGAUUCUUACCCACUGGGUGAGGCCAGGGAUUGAACCUACGUCCUCAUGGAUACUAGUUGGGUUCAUUACUGCUGAGCAGAGAUGGGAACUC